UACGUAAGGACCGAGCGUUGUCCGGAAUCAUUGGGCGUAAAGGGUACGUAGGCGGUUAGAAAAGUUAGAAGUGAAAGGCUAUAGCUCAACUAUAGUAAGCUUUUAAAACUGUUUAACUUGAGAGAUGGAAGGGAAAGUGGAAUUCCUAGUGUAGCGGUGAAAUGCGCAGAUAUUAGGAGGAAUACCGGUGGCGAAGGCGACUUUCUGGCCAUUAUCUGACGCUGAGGUACGAAAGCGUGGGUAGCAAACAGGAUUAGAAACCCGCGUAGUCC
rnacentral:rRNA from 1 species